rnacentral:rRNA from 1 species
GACGAACGCUGGCGGCGUGCUUAACACAUGCAAGUCGAACGGAAAGGCCCUGCUUUUGUGGGGUGCUCGAGUGGCGAACGGGUGAGUAACACGUGAGUAACCUGCCCUUGACUUUGGGAUAACUUCAGGAAACUGGGGCUAAUACCGGAUAGGAGCUCCUGCUGCAUGGUGGGGGUUGGAAAGUUUCGGCGGUUGGGGAUGGACUCGCGGCUUAUCAGCUUGUUGGUGGGGUAGUGGCUUACCAAGGCUUUGACGGGUAGCCGGCCUGAGAGGGUGACCGGCCACAUUGGGACUGAGAUACGGCCCAGACUCCUACGGGAGGCAGCAGUGGGGAAUAUUGCACAAUGGGCGGAGGCCUGAUGCAGCAACGCCGCGUGCGGGAUGACGGCCUUCGGGUUGUAAACCGCUUUCGCCUGUGACGAUGCGUGAGUGACGGUAAUGGGUAAAGAAGCACCGGCUAACUACGUG